rnacentral:rRNA from 1 species
UACGUAGGGUGCGAGCGUUGUCCGGAAUUAUUGGGCGUAAAGAGCUUGUAGGCGGUUUGUCGCGUCUGCCGUGAAAAUUCGAGGCUCAACCUCGAACUUGCGGUGGGUACGGGCAGACUAGAGUGUGGUAGGGGAGACUGGAAUUCCUGGUGUAGCGGUGAAAUGCGCAGAUAUCAGGAGGAACACCGAUGGCGAAGGCAGGUCUCUGGGCCGCUACUGACGCUGAGAAGCGAAAGCAUGGGGAGCGAAUAGG